rnacentral:rRNA from 1 species
CAACUUUCAACAACGGAUCUCUUGGCUCUCACAUCGAUGAAGAACGCAGCGAAAUGCGAUAAGUAAUGUGAAUUGCAGAAUACAGUGAAUCAUCGAAUCUUUGAACGCAAAUUGCGCCCUUUGGUAUUCCGAAGGGCAUGCCUGUUUGAGUGUCUUAU